UGAGAGGGAACAGAAUUUGUGGUAUACUC
rnacentral:piRNA from 2 species